rnacentral:lncRNA from 1 species
GUUCGGUGUGAUUUUUGCCUCUUCUGGUUGGGAUUUCUCCUUGCACCGAGUAAAGGAACCUCAAUUUAACUCCUGAAUUUAAGUAUUCCAGUAAAAAAUACUCACCUUGAUUGUCAUGACAAGCAGAGAUACCACUACCAAGUUUUGAAUUCUCAGGCUAUGUAGAACUGCAACAAUUUUCCAGGUCAAGAAACUUUUCAUCCCUCUACCAACAUCCUUUCAUGGAUCUGUUCAGUUUAAUAUCCUUGCAGUUAUUCAACUUCAAGUAUGAUUUUCUUUCCUUCACUAAGUGAUGUGGAGUGGCUCAGUCAUUAUUCCCCAAGGU